rnacentral:rRNA from 1 species
CGCCGCGUGAGUGAUGAAGGUUUUCGGAUCGUAAAGCUCUGUUGUUAGGGAAGAACAAGUGCAAGAGUAACUGCUUGCACCUUGACGGUACCUAACCAGAAAGCCACGGCUAACUACGUGCCAGCAGCCGCGGUAAUACGUAGGUGGCAAGCGUUGUCCGGAAUUAUUGGGCGUAAAGGGCUCGCAGGCGGUUUCUUAAGUCUGAUGUGAAAGCCCCCGGCUCAACCGGGGAGGGUCAUUGGAAACUGGGAAACUUGAGUGCAGAAGAGGAGAGUGGAAUUCCACGUGUAGCGGUGAAAUGCGUAGAGAUGUGGAGGAACACCAGUGGCGAAGGCGACUCUCUGGUCUGUAACUGACGCUGAGGAGCGAAAGCGUGGGGAGCGAACAGGAUUAGAUACCCUGGUAGUCCACGCCGUAAACGAUGAGUGCUAAGUGUUAGGGGGUUUCCGCCCCUUAGUGCUGCAGCUAACGCAUUAAGCACUCCGCCUGGGGAGUACGGUCGCAAGACUGAAACUCAAAGGAAUUGACGGGGGCCCGCACAAGCGGUGGAGCAUGUGGUUUAAUUCGAAGCAACGCGCAGAACCUUACCAGGUCUUGACAUCCUCUGACAACCCUGGAGAUA